rnacentral:ncRNA from 1 species
UUGAUGGUACCCUACUACUCGGAUAACCAUAGUAAUGAGUACAAUCUAAAUAACUUAGCGAGGAUCCAUUGGAGGGCAAGUUUGGUGCCAGCAGCCGUGGUAAUUCCAGCUCCAA